UACACUCUCUGCUAGUUCCUCAGCAUAACCAAGAGCUUUCCUGUCUUGGAGCCUUUUUCCUGCUGUUCCCUUUGCUGGAUGCCCUUCCGCCACCCCACCCUGAGACCCUCAAACCUUGUCACAUGUCAUCCAAUAUGCGGGUUCGGUAGCUUCUUUCUUGCCAAAGUCUCUGGUAUCUCCCAGCCUGCAAUGACACAGCCUAGGGUGAUGAAGAAAGCAGAUUUUCCACCGCCUCCUCUGAGUAAACCAACUUUGAGACAAAGUGCUGAGAGAACUGGCUGAGAUGGGAAUCACGGAAAAAUGGGCCACCGCUGGAGUUUCUCGGGGGGAGGCGAGAGAAAUAAGAGCAAUUAGAUUGUUAGUUUCAAUUUGAAAGCAUGGAAUGUGUCAGGAAUGAUAACUAACUGUUGCUAUUUUUGUAAUAAAUGUCUCCCUCAGAGUCACAAGCAGACAUUGAGCAUUGGAAGCUUCCAUGUAGGAAUUAGUUUGGCGCCCUUCCUUGAUGUCCCUGUUGAACUUGUCCGAAAAGUUAUGAAGAAUCAUGGCCACUUGGAAGGCAUUCAUACAAAUAGCACUGACAGUUUUCAAGCAGGACAAAUGUCUCAGCUUUGGGCUUCCUCCUACACCAGCAAAUUGGCUGCCGUAGCAAAUCCCAUAAAUACUUCAGCUGGAACAAACCUUUGUUUAAAGGUACUUAAAUGGACCCUGGAGCUUCCAACUUUGGAAACGGAUUUGACUCUGUAAUCAGAUAUUCACAUCGGAAUUGCUGACCAUCUCUGUGGCUCCUCUGGUGUCAUUAAGCUUCAGAUUCAUCGUCCGCAUAUUGAUUAAACAUUGCUUUAUGUCAGAUGCAACAAACUUGUGUGGAGACAAUUGCUUGUGAUUUAGUAUUUCAGACUAGUGGCUCAAGUCUAUAUUUCUUAUGUGCCUUUCCUAUUUACCCCAAGACUAAACUAGGUGCAGGUUGCAAAGGGCUUCACUGGGACUUUUCAAGGGCAAACACGAUGAGAAUCAAGGGGCAAUCAAGGGGAGGCAAAGGCAGCCAUAGAUACCCCUGGGGCAGCUUUUUGUAGGGUUUCAUAUGUUUCAUAGAGAGACAAGCUAUUCCUUCCCACUUACUGCAAAUGCGUAAGAACAUGACGGUGGCAGAAAAAACCAAGCCCUCCUUCAGGUAGCACCGAAACUAGUUGUGUGCUCCAACCUGUAGUCUGUUGUGUCUUGGCACUGACUAUCUGGUGGCUUUGAGGCAGAGCUAUCUCCAGAGAUUUAAACAAUCACAAAGAAGUUAAAAUCUUGACUGUGUCAAUAAGAAAAAGAUGUACAUCCCAAUAGAAGAAUGGCUAGGGUGGGGAUGAACACGGAUUGCACAAAUGCACAUCCAUGCACACAUAAUAAUUAGGUUAAAAAAUGUCUGACUUUCCUAUUGAUCAAAUGAGUGCAACUUUAAAGAAUGAUGGGAUGCUUUUUCUUUCUUUUUUUUUUAAGUUUGCACCUGGACCAACCUUUUAAUAAAUAUUAACAUCUAAUGCUGGAAAAAGUGUGGAAAAUUCAGCACUCCCAUAUACUGAUGAGAGUGUGUAUUACAAUACAACUUUUUUGGAGGGUGAUACAACAGUACAUUCAUACCCUUGAGUCACUCAGCGUUUAAGACAUUGUCUUGAGGUAAUUAUCAGAGAUGUUUGCAAAACGUGCAAGGCAGGUCACGCUAUCACUUUUUUGUAAUGGUAAAACUGAGAAACUAAAUACCCAACAGGAGGGGCAGGCCUAAACAUCCAAUGGUGAGUCCAUGCAUUGAACCGUACAUAGUCCUUAAAAAUAAUAUUUUAGAAGAAUAUGAAAUCAUGUG